rfam:Myxococcus stipitatus DSM 14675, complete genome.
GUGCUCAACGCCUUCCGGCAUCACGGCGAGCCACGGUAC